rnacentral:rRNA from 1 species
UUGACCUCAAAUCAAGCAAGACUACCCGCUGAACUUAAGCAUAUCAAUAAGCGGAGGAAAAGAAACUAACAAGGAUUCCCCUAGUAACUGCGAGUGAAGCGGGAAAAGCUCAAAUUUAAAAUCUGACAGUGGUUUCACUGUCCGAAUUGUAAUCUAGAGAAGUGUUGCUCACACUGGACCAUGUAUAAGUCUUCUGGAAUGAAGCGUCAUAGAGGGUGAGAAUCCCGUCUUUGACAUGGACUGCCAGUGUAUUUGUAGCAUGCUCUCAAAGAGUCG